AAUCUUGGUCAAUUGGCGAAAGCCAGAACCAGUCAUGCCGCGUGCAGGAUGAAGGCCCUACGGGUCGUAAACUGCUUUUAUUCGGGAAGAAAAAGUCUGUUUCCACAGACCUUGACGGUACCGAUUGAAUAAGGACCGGCCAACUCCGUGCCAGCAGCCGCGGUAAUACGGAGGGUCCAAGCGUUAUCCGGAUUCACUGGGUUUAAAGGGUGCGCAGGCGGCCAAGUAAGUCAGUGGUGAAAGCCUUCGGCUCAACCGGAGAAUUGCCAUUGAAACUACUUGGCUUGAGUGCAGCAGAGGUAGGCGGAAUGUAGCAUGUAGCGGUGAAAUGCAUAGAUAUGCUACAGAACACCGAUAGCGAAAGCAGCUUACCACACUGUAACUGACGCUGAGGCACGAAAGCAUGGG
rnacentral:rRNA from 1 species